GACGAACGCUGGCGGCGUGCUUAACACAUGCAAGUCGAACGAAGAGCGACGGAAGCUUGCUUCUAUCAAUCUUAGUGGCGCACGGGUGAGUAACGCGUAAUCAACCUGCCCUUCAGAGGGGGACAACAGUUGGAAACGACUGCUAAUACCGCAUACGAUCUAAUCUCGGCAUCGAGGAUGGAUGAAAGGUGGCCUCUACAUGUAAGCUAUCACUGAAGGAGGGGAUUGCGUCUGAUUAGCUAGUUGGAGGGGUAACGGCCCACCAAGGCGAUGAUCAGUAGCCGGUCUGAGAGGAUGAACGGCCACAUUGGGACUGAGACACGGCCCAGACUCCUACGGGAGGCAGCAGUGGGGAAUCUUCCGCAAUGGACGAAAGUCUGACGGAGCAACGCCGCGUGAGUGAUGACGGCCUUCGGGUUGUAAAGCUCUGUUAAUCGCGACGAAAGGCCUUCUUGCGAAUAGGGAGAAGGAUUGACGGUACCGGAAUAGAAAGCCACGGCUAACUACGUG
rnacentral:rRNA from 1 species